rnacentral:rRNA from 1 species
UACGUAGGGUGCAAGCGUUAAUCGGAAUUACUGGGCGUAAAGCGUGCGCAGGCGGUGAUGUAAGACAGGUGUGAAAUCCCCGGGCUUAACCUGGGAACUGCAUUCGAGACUGCAUUACUAGAGUAUGGGAGAGGGAAGUGGAAUUUCCGGUGUAGCGGUGAAAUGCGUAGAUAUCGGAAGGAACAUCAGUGGCGAAAGCGACUUCCUGGACCAAUACUGACGCUCAUGUGCGAAAGCGUGGGGAGCAAACAGG